rnacentral:rRNA from 1 species
GACGUAGGGCGCGAGCGUUGUCCGGAUUUAUUGGGCGUAAAGAGCUCGUAGGCGGCUUGUUACGUCGACUGUGAAAACCCGCGGCUCAACUGCGGGCCUGCAGUCGAUACGGGCAGGCUAGAGUUCGGUAGGGGAGACUGGAAUUCCUGGUGUAGCGGUGAAAUGCGCAGAUAUCAGGAGGAACACCGAUGGCGAAGGCAGAUCUCUGGGCCGUAACUGACGCUGAGGAGCGAAAGCGUGGGGAGCGAACAGG